AGGAGAGGCAACAACAUUCCUUUUCAUUCCAGAUACAUCUAGGGAGGUGUCCCCUUUAAUAUUCACUAAUGCUUCUCAUAUGUGGGAAGAUUUAUAUAUGGACAUUUGUGUAUAUGUGUAAACUCAGGUGUACCAAGCAUGUAUAUCUAUGUAUGCAUACUGUGAAUAUGUAAGCGUAUAUAUAUUUUUUUUAAUACCACGGGGCAGUUUUUCAUUGUAGAAUGAGGGCAGAG